rnacentral:rRNA from 1 species
GACGAACGCUGGCGGCGUGCUUAACACAUGCAAGUCGAGCGAUGAAUUUUCUUCGGAAAUGGAUUAGCGGCGAACGGGUGAGGAACACGUGAAGAAUCUGCCCUCCACUUUGGGAUAACACAGGGAAACCUGUGCUAAUACCGAAUAUUGAAACAUAAGUGGCAUCACUGAGUUUUGAAAGAAUUUCGGUGGAGGAUGACUUCGCGGCCUAUCAGCUAGUUGGUGAGGUAAUGGCUCACCAAGGCAACGACGGGUAGCCGGCCCGAGAGGGCGACCGGCCACACUGGGACUGAGACACGGCCCAGACUCCUACGGGAGGCAGAAGUGGGGAAUAUUGGGCAAUGGAGGAAACUCUGACCCAGCGACGCCGCGUGCGGGAUGAAGGCCUUCGGGUUGUAAACCGCUUUCAGUAGGGAAGAAGCGAAAGUGACGGUACCUACAAAAGAAGCACCGGCUAACUAUGUGCCAGCAGCCGCCGUAA